rnacentral:rRNA from 1 species
GACGAACGCUGGCGGCGUGCCUAAUACAUGCAAGUAGAACGCUGAAGGAGGAGCUUGCUUCUCUGGAUGAGUUGCGAACGGGUGAGUAACGCGUAGGUAACCUGCCUGGUAGCGGGGGAUAACUAUUGGAAACGAUAGCUAAUACCGCAUAAGAGUAGAUGUUGCAUGACAUUUGCUUAAAAGGUGCAAUUGCAUCACUACCAGAUGGACCUGCGUUGUAUUAGCUAGUUGGUGGGGUAACGGCUCACCGAGGCGACGAUACAUAGCCGACCUGAGAGGGUGAUCGGCCACACUGGGACUGAGACACGGCCCAGACUCCUACGGGAGGCAGCAGUAGGGAAUCUUCGGCAAUGGACGGAAGUCUGACCGAGCAACGCCGCGUGAGUGAAGAAGGUUUUCGGAUCGUAAAGCUCUGUUGUAAGAGAAGAACGAGUGUGAGAGUGGAAAGUUCACACUGUGACGGUAUCUUACCAGAAAGGGACGGCUAACUACGUG